rnacentral:rRNA from 1 species
UACAGAGGUCUCAAGCGUUGUUCGGAUUCAUUGGGCGUAAAGGGUGCGUAGGCGGCGCGGUAAGUCGGGUGUGAAAUCUCGGGGCUUAACUCCGAAACUGCAUUCGAUACUGCCGUGCUUGAGGACUGGAGAGGAGACUGGAAUUUACGGUGUAGCGGUGAAAUGCGUAGAUAUCGUAAGGAAGACCAGUGGCGAAGGCGGGUCUCUGGACAUUUCCUGACGCUGAGGCACGAAGGCCAGGGGAGCAAACAGG